ACAAAACCAUUUCUGAGAGCCAAUACCUGAUCUGAAAUAUUGGGAAUCAUAAAUAUUUUUAAUUAAAAAUUAUAAUUCCUUUUCUCAUAAUUUGGGGAUUUUUAUCUAUAAAGGAAACUUCUAAAAGUUUUGGAGACCAAAUCCAAUAUUUCGUUAGGUUGUCCCAGAUCCGGCACAGAAAUAGCUAGCAUACGGUGCGUAAAUAUCCAUUCUACCAUGUUGAUUCUAAGGUUUAACUCCAGUGUCCGACCGGCUAACUCUAUUAAUUGGUUAUAUAAAAGGAGAGCGCACUAUAGCUUGUAAGUAUUGUGCCAAAGAUUACGAAAUGUGCUUCAAAACAUGUACAGAGAACUACGUAUUAAAAAAAAAAAAAAAAAAACGGAGGUAGGAAUCAAUUCUAUGGGGGUCAUAAUAAUUUUUUGGAAAAUUGAACACAUGUUCACUGAGGUCAAACACUAAUUUUAACUGAGUAUUUCAGUAAAUCCAUUCAAAUUUACACUAAAAAUAAAACAAAAAAUUAAUUUCAUAGGGGUCAUAUGACCAUAUGACCCCCUUAGAGCAUCUCCAACCCAUUGCUAUUUUCACCUCUAUAAUAGCAUUUAGAGGUGAAAUUGCUCCAACCCACCUCUAUUUCUUCCUCUAUAAUAGAGAUCUCUAUUUUUUCCUCUAUUUAUAGAGGAAGAAAUAGCAUUCCUCUAUUUUUUAUUCUAUAUUUUAGAGAUUGCUAUUUUAGUGGAAUACAUUGGAGCAUAUCUCACUUCUAUUAUAGAGUUCCCCUAUUUUAGAGGUGAAAAUAGCAAAUUACAUUGGAGAUGGUCUUAGCGCUUCACUAUCUCCGCCAACUGGUUGAGACAUUCUUCAUGCAUCUCGAUUUUUAAUAUAGUGCAUGUGUUCUAAUAAAAAAAAAAAACAAAGACGUAUUCACGUAAUUUCUCUAAGCAAAAAAUAAUAAUAAUCUAACUUACUCAAUUUGUUUCUACUAAGUACUUUACCAUGUAGAACUUGCAAGACAUUCUAUUUCCAUAUAAGACAUACCAGAGUCUUAAAUAGUAAUCAGUACAUCGUUCAUUAUACCAAAUCCAUAUCUAAUCA
rnacentral:lncRNA from 1 species